rnacentral:lncRNA from 1 species
AGAAAUAUCAUGUGGCAUCAGUCCUGUGCCAAAAGGCCAAGGUGACCAUGAGCUAACUGGAGUCAACAAGUAUAUCCACUAUGACCUCCUAGAAAAGAAAAUUAACAGUGUUAACGAAUGAUUGAACCAGGCUCUGAUCCUCUUGGAGAUCAUGUAUGGAUACCUAGAUGACCCCAGGCAACUGAACAGAGUAAGAUGUACCUGCAUAGGCAUUCAGGAUACUAUGGACCGUAUGGCCACAGUGCAGUUCAUAAGCAGAGAGGUGGCCAAAUGGCCAUAUCAUCCACCAUCCACUGUGAUCACCAGACAAGGCUCAGCUCAGGGAAAAGAAAGGUCUGUGCCAGGCCAAGGACAUAAAUCAGAAAGUAUAAUUUCCUAGCAACUGCAGAUGUGAACUACAGUGUGGGCUUUUAGAAGAUGGACCUAGAAUCAAUCACCAGAUCAUUCUUGAAAGCUACAUAUACCCCAGGAUUCUUCUUAUUCCACUACUCCCACACCUCAAUAGUGGUGGCUUGCAGAGCAUAUACACUGGAGCUGGGGAGGCUGAUGCAGUGGACGGCAGGAUUGAAAUUAUUUAGGAGUUGAAGUGCCACAAGAUGAAUGGUGUGAAGCUGACAGGCACAAUCUCAAGCUAGAUCUGAUCCACAGAUGUGAUCCUGAAGGUGGCACACGCGUACUGUGGAGUACCAGCAGCCUAGCAUACAGCCCAUCUCAUACAUUGGCCUGAUGAUAAUCUGAACACGGGUGUAGAAAUUGGGGCCCUCAGUGUUCUCUUAGAACCACGGAAUAAAGCAAUAACUGGGUAAGACAGGCUAAGGAGACAAUGCCAAUCCAAGAUAAAAUCAAGGAUCACUUGGUACCUGACCCUGAUUGCCAUUAUAAAUGACAGGUAAAAAUUAACCUCAACAAGCUGAAGCCCCAUGUAAAUAAGCCCUUUACCCCGACCUAGCCCACACUGUGGAAGAAGUAGGUACUGUGGUGGAGAAGGAGGGAUGGCCUUUGGACAUCAAAGUGGGUCUGAUCAACAGCUGUACCAACUCAAGCUAUGAGGACAUCAGGUGCUCAACAGCUAUGGCCAAGCAAGUGCUAGCUCAUGGGCUCAAGUGCAAGUCACAGCUCACCACAGCACUGGGAUCUAAGCAGAUCUACACUAAUAUUGAGCAUAAGAGUUAUUCACAGAUCCCAUAGGAUAUGGCAGGCAUUGUCCUGGCCACUGUCUGUGGCCCCUGCAUUGGCCAGUGGAACAGGUAGGACAUAAUAAAGAUGGAGAAAAAUGCAAUCUUCACCUCCUACAAGAGGAACUUGACAGGCCACAAUAAAGCAAACCUGAGGCCCAAGCCUUCAUCAUGUCCCUAGAGAUCCUCAAGCCCUGGCCAUUUCUGUCACCAUCAACUUCAACCAAGAGAUUUACUUCCUGACAACCAUGUAUGGGAAGAAGUACAAAUUGGAGGCUCCAGAUGCAGAUGAGCUUCCCUAAGCAGAGUUGACUCCAGGAAGGACAACUACCAGCACCCCUACCACAAGGAUAUCAGUAGGCAGAGGGUGGAUAUGAGCACACCCAACAAGUGCCUACAGCUCCUGGAGCCUUUUGACAAGUGGGAAGGCAAAGACCUGGAUGACCUACAGAUUCACAUAUCCUUACAAAAGUGAAAAGGAAGCAUACCACUCACUACAUUUUGAAUAUUGGCAUAUGGUUCAAGUUAUUGAGGCACCAGUACAACAUCUCCAAUAACCUGCUUAUUGGUGCCAUAAACACUGAAAACAAUAAAUGCCAACUCCUUAGGUAAUGUUGUCACCAGGAGAAGGCCCACUACUGUAAGAAACAUGCCAUCAGAUAGAUGGUUAUCAGAGAUGAGAGCCAUGGCAAGCUGGGAGCAUAUACCACUAGAACCCUGCCACCUUGGGAGACAGGGCAUCAUCAUCAAGAGCUUUACCAGGAUCCAGGAAACUAGCUUCAAGAAACCAACCUGCUGUCCCUUACCUUUACUGACAUGACAAACUAUAAGAUCUACCCUGCGUGUAAUCUCAUCAUCCAAGGCUGGAAAGGCUUUGCCCUGUCAAGCCCCUCAAAUGUAUCAUCAAGAACUCCAAGAGGAUUCAGGAAACCAUCCUCCUGAACCACGAACUUCUACAAGACCCUGAUUCAAUGGUUCCAUGUUGGCAGUGCUCUGAACAGAAUGAUGGAGCUAUAGUACUGAGCUCUAA